rnacentral:misc_RNA from 1 species
AGUACCGAUAUUCUAGCAGUUUUGAAUUGUAUGAUGCAACUGUCACGCAUCAUUAUGAGAAUUAAAUUGGCAUACAGAAUGGGGUACAAUUGUCAAAUAUAUAGCUAAACACUGCAGAGGGACUAUAAUCAACAACAAAAUUUAAGCAGCGCAUUGUAACUCAACUGAAACGACCACCUCUAACCUCCUAUGAUUGAUUACCACUUCCACAAACAAGUCUCAGUCAAUCUGUCAUAUCCAUAUCAGCAUUAAUUCUUUUCUACCGGUCUUCUUCCAUCUAUUGAUU